GGAUGUGAGAGCAAUUUGGCUGUGACAUCUGUCAUUCCAUUGAUCUCCAGGGUUGAUUCAACUGAUCUGGCUGGCUAGGUGGGUGUUCCCUUCCUCCCUCACCUCUCCAUGUGUGACCCUCCAGAAGAUAUGCGCUCAGUAGAAGAGGGUGACCUUCCCUGAAUAUGGGAGGACCCAUCUUUGGUCAAGGUUACAUGAGUAGCUGCGCUCCUCUGCCCGAACUUCCAAACAAGUGCUCAAGGCUAUUUCUUUCCCCAUUGAACUAGCCUGGCAUCCUUAUUAGAAACCAGCUGAUGAUGAUGGUCAGAUUUCUCUCUAGAUUCUUAAUUAUAUUUCACUGAACUAUACAUCUGU
rnacentral:snRNA from 1 species